CCUACGGGAGGCAGCAGUGAGGAAUAUUGGUCAAUGGCCGGAAGGCUGAACCAGCCAAGCCGCGUGAAGGACGAAGGUGCCAAGCAUUGUAAACUUCUUUUGUGCGGGAGCAAUAAUGGUCACGUGUGGCCAGCCGAGAGUACCGUACGAAUAAGCAUCGGCUAACUCCGUGCCAGCAGCCGCGGUAAUACGGGGGAUGCAAGCGUUAUCCGGAUUUAUUGGGUUUAAAGGGUGCGUAGGCUGUGAGGUAAGUCAGCGGUGAAAUGCCCCCGCUCAACGGGGUGAAGUGCCAUUGAUACUGCCCUGCUGGAAUGCGGAUGCCGUGGGAGGAAUGUGUGGUGUAGCGGUGAAAUGCAUAGAUAUCACACAGAACACCGAUUGCGAAGGCAUCUCACGAAUCCGCGAUUGACGCUGAUGCACGAAAGCGUGGGUAUCAAACAGGAUUAGAUACCCUUGUAGUC
rnacentral:rRNA from 1 species